CUUAAAUUGAAGAGUUUGAUCAUGGCUCAGAUUGAACGCUGGCGGCAGGCCUAACACAUGCAAGUCGAGCGGAAACGAGUUAUCUGAACCUUUGGGGGACGAUAACGGCGUCGAGCGGCGGACGGGUG
rnacentral:rRNA from 1 species